rnacentral:sRNA from 1 species
CUUGCAACAUAUCACCAUAUUAUUCACCUGUUUGAUCAACCUGGAGACCCUUUAAAGAGAUCAUCCUUCAUCAUUUAUGAUAUAAUGAAUGAAUUAAUGGGAAAGAGAUUUUCUCCAAAGGACCCGGAUGAUGAUAAGUUUUUUCAGUCAGCCAUGAGCAUAUGCGCAUCUCUCAGAGAUCUAGAACUUGCCUACCAAGUACAUGGCCUUUUAAAAACCGGAGACAACUGGAAAUUCAUUGGAUCUGAUCAACAUCGUAAUUUCUAUUAUUCCAAGUUCUUCGAUUUGAUUUGUCUAAUGGAACAAAUUGAUGUUACCUUGAAGUGGUAUGAGGACCUGAUACCUUCAGCCUACUUUCCCCACUCCCAAACAAUGAUACAUCUUCUCCAAGCGUUGGAUGUGGCCAAUCGGCUAGAAGUGAUUCCUAAAAUUUGGAAAGAUAGUAAAGAAUAUGGUCAUACUUUCCGCAGUGACCUGAGAGAAGAGAUCCUGAUGCUCAUGGCAAGGGACAAGCACCCACCAGAGCUUCAGGUGGCAUUUGCUGACUGUGCUGCUGAUAUCAAAUCUGCGUAUGAAAGCCAACUCAUCAGACAGACUGCUCAGGAUUGGCCAGCCACCUCUCUCAACUGUAUAGCUAUCCUCUUUUUAAGGGCUGGGAGAACUCAGGAAGCCUGGUGAGUACAGUACCACAAGUAUACACUUUAGAAGCUUUUGUAUUUGAAUCUAAAACAUUGGCCCACGCUGGUAGAGGUUCUUUCAUUUGGCCAUAUAACAAGUAUUUGAUUCGGGAACUUGCAAAUACCAACUAAAAAGCAAACUUUUGGAAGAAGACAGUAUGCAUGAUGUAGUUGAGAUAAGGCAUAGUUCUCUCAAACCAUAGGCUGA